CUUCUGAUGUUCGGAUGUGUUCGGAGUUUCUUCCUUCUGGUGGGUUCGUGGUCUCGCUGGCUCGGGAGUGAAGCUGCAGACGUUUGCGGAACUCGUGAGUUAUGACAAAAAGAUAUUAUGACUCCCAUGCAGCGGAUGAAGACAUUGAUGCCCAUGAAAGGAGAUUCACAAGCCUCCCUCCCAGAUUCAGGGAAGGAGAUGCAGCCCCCACCCCUUGACUGGAGGAGGACCAAGGUCACCUUGCAGAGCACCGUGAGAUGUGGAAGAUGCCAGAACUGUCUGUGGGAAAUGGGAUUUGUACUUGGCUUGUCUGCCUCUUGCAACCAGAGUCCUGGUUCUCAGGGCCUCACCUGUGCAUCUCUUGUUGAGCACAGAGGAGGCACUCGGCAUAAAUGAAGAGGAUGCUUGCUGAGCUGGCUGGCCCAUCCUCUCUUCUUUCCCUUGUUUUUCUAUUUUAUCUUUCAAAGCAGUGUUUCAAGUGUUUAUAAACUAAUCUAUGUAUAAAAUAUUAUGUGGCAUAAGAUUUGCAAAAUAUUAAAGAUUUAAAGAAUCAAAUAAAAUAUUUGUAUGAUACCACA
rnacentral:misc_RNA from 1 species